UACGGAGGAUCCAAGCGUUAUCCGGAUUUAUUGGGUUUAAAGGGUGCGUAGGCGGCUUAUUAAGUCAGGGGUGAAAGACGGUGGCUCAACCAUCGCAGUGCCCUUGAUACUGAUGAGCUUGAAUGAACUAGAGGUAGGCGGAAUGUGACAAGUAGCGGUGAAAUGCAUAGAUAUGUCACAGAACACCGAUUGCGAAGGCAGCUCACUAAGCCGCAACUGACGCUGAGGCUCGAAAGCGUGGGUAUCAAACAGG
rnacentral:rRNA from 1 species